AUUGAACGCUGGCGGCAUGCUUUACACAUGCAAGUCGGGCGGAUGAGGAAAGCUUGCUUUUCGAUUCAGCGGCGGACGGGUGAGUAAUGCCUAGGAAUCUGCCUGUUAGUGGGGGAUAACUCGGGGAAACUCGGGCUAAUACCGCAUACGUCCUACGGGAGAAAGUGGGGGAUCUUCGGACCUCACGCUAACAGAUGAGCCUAGGUCGGAUUAGCUAGUAGGUGAGGUAAUGGCUCACCUAGGCGACGAUCCGUAACUGGUCUGAGAGGAUGAUCAGUCACACUGGAACUGAGACACGGUCCAGACUCCUACGGGAGGCAGCAGUGGGGAAUAUUGGACAAUGGGCGAAAGCCUGAUCCAGCCAUGCCGCGUGUGUGAAGAAGGUCUUCGGAUUGUAAAGCACUUUAAGUUGGGAGGAAGGGUAUUCACCUAAUACGUGGGUACUUUGACGUUACCAACAGAAUAAGCACCGGCUAACUCUGUGCCAGCCGCCGCCGUAAUAC
rnacentral:rRNA from 1 species